GCGCGCUGGUGCGCCUUCCGAUAUCAGCUUGAGCUCGGUGCAGCUCUCAUGAGCCAUUCUUCGCUCUUCAGAGUGAUUUGUAUGUUGUAAAGGAGAGCAGAUCAUGAAACAAGUACAGUGUUUAUGCUCCUGCACUGCAAGAACAUCCAUGGACCAGAAGCUGAUUGGUUCUCCUGUAUGCAUUGAGAACAAGAAAUACAGUCGCAAUGCUUUGCUCUUUAACCUGGGCUUUGUGUGUGAUGCUUGAGCAAAGACGUGCGCUCUGGAGCCCAUCAUGAAGAAGCUAGCAGGAGAUCUCACCAUGCUGGAGGUGCACAAUUCAGACAUGGCACUAAUGAAUUCCCCAGACAUGCCACUGUUCACCUAUUAAAUUAAACGAAACAUCCGUCUGCAAUUAUAUCUGCGAUGCUUUCACCCCCUCAUCUCUUAUAAGUGUCAUAUUUUGUUAGUGAUGGGUGCAUUCUCCUCCUUUCUUUUAUACCAGUAAACUGGGUUUAUCUCAAACGAAGACAGCAAGCAGAGACUGGUGCCUAUAAUGAAUAUCUUACUGAAAGGCCUUAACUCCACAGGCGAAUGCUUCCCCCUAUAGGUAUCGUGCAAGUUAUCCCAUGGCUCAAGUGUUUCUUCUCACUCCUUGACAACACAUUUUCUCAUUUAGAUGAGAGUAACACUAUGCAUCUGAAGGUGAUUGAGCCUCGCGUGUUGCCACCACCCGCACAGGAAUACGAUGUUCCUGUCUUUAUUGAAGACAAGGAAGAUUUCAUAAUUCACAAUGGGAUUUAACCACUCAGCAGGUUAGAAAAAAGUUAUGAUAUGAGGCUGCUUUGUCUCUCCCUUUGGGACUCAUUUACUGUCACCAGUAGUUCAGAUUCCUUCUCUGGCAGGUCCACAUUCAUUUCAUCAACUGUCUAGGUGUCCAUUCUUAUUAUUGUUAUUUUGUGUGGGACUUAAUAGGGUAAAUUUGUGACUUGGUAUUCUUGUCUGCCACUCUCUUAAUCCUUGCCCCAUUCUACGCAUUCCCCUCCAUCAACUCACUUUCCCCCUCUCUUCCCUCCCUCCCCCUCCGCUUUGGGCAUACUUGUUUCCUCAAGCCAUGUUUAACCCCCUGAAAUUAACAAUGGAUAAUCCCAUAUACCAGGGAAAAAGAAACACACAUAGACACAGGGCUUGUUUUGAAUAACAAGGUUUUUACCUUUAGGAUAUUGUUUUUACUGUGAUGAAUAAAAUUGUGGUU